rnacentral:tRNA from 1 species
GGGGGCGUGGUCUAGUGGUCUAAGAUGCCUGGCUGUCAACCAGGAGGUCGGCGGUUCGAAUCCGCUCGUCCCCGCCA